rnacentral:rRNA from 1 species
GGGUUGUGAGGUUAAGCGACUAAGCGUACACGGUGGAUGCCCUGGCAGUCAGAGGCGAUGAAGGGCGUGCUAAUCUGCGAUAAGCGCCGGUAAGGUGAUAUGAACCGUUAUAACCGGCGAUACCCGAAUGGGGAAACCCAGUGUGACUCGUCACACUAUCAUUAACUGAAUCCAUAGGUUAAUGAGGCGAACCGGGGGAACUGAAACAUCUAAGUACCCCGAGGAAAAUAAAUCAACCGAGAUUCCCCCAGUAGCGGCGAGCGAACGGGGAGGAGCCCAGAGCCUGAAUCAGCAUGUGUGUUAGUGGAAGCGUCUGGAAAGGCGCGCGAUACAGGGUGACAGCCCCGUACACAAAAGCGCAUGUGCUGUGAGCUCGAUGAGUAGGGCGGGACACGUGGUAUCCUGUCUGAAUAUGGGGGGACCAUCCUCCAAGGCUAAAUACUCCUGACUGACCGAUAGUGAACCAGUACCGUGAGGGAAAGGCGAAAAGAACCCCGGCGAGGGGAGUGAAAAAGAACCUGAAACCGUGUACGUACAAGCAGUGGGAGCCCCACCACCAAAGCAUUCUCUGGUGUUGAAGGCCCUGCAAAGCAGCAUCGCGGUGGCGGAGCGUCGUUUGCGACGCCCAACACACAAAACAAGCGGUGAGUGCUUUGGGGUGGGGUGACUGCGUACCUUUUGUAUAAUGGGUCAGCGACUUAUAUUCUGUAGCAAGGUUAACCGAAUAGGGGAGCCGGAGGGAAACCGAGUCUUAAUUGGGCGUUAAGUUGCAGGGUAUAGACCCGAAACCCGGUGAUCUAGCCAUGGGCAGGUUGAAGGUUGGGUAACACUAACUGGAGGACCGAACCGACUAAUGUUGAAAAAUUAGCGGAUGACCUGUGGCUGGGGGUGAAAGGCCAAUCAAACCGGGAGAUAGCUGGUUCUCCCCGAAAGCUAUUUAGGUAGCGCCUCGUGAAUUCAUCUCCGGGGGUAGAGCACUGUUUCGGCUAGGGGGUCAUCCCGACUUACCAACCCGAUGCAAACUGCGAAUACCGGAGAAUGUUAUCACGGGAGACACACGGCGGGUGCUAACGUCCGUCGUGAAGAGGGAAACAACCCAGACCGCCAGCUAAGGUCCCAAA